rnacentral:rRNA from 1 species
CAAUAAGCAAAAUAAGGGCGCAUGGGGAAUGCCUAGGCUCUCAGAGGCGAAGAAGGACGUGAUAAGCUGCGAAAAGCUGCGGGGACGGGCACACACCGAUUGAUCCGCAGGUAUCCGAAUGGGGCAACCCGCUAUGCUGAAGGCAUAGCACACCGAUAGGUGGGCAAACCCGCUGAACUGAAACAUCUAAGUAGGCGGAGGAGAAGAAAACAAAAGUGAUUCCGUAAGUAGUGGCGAGCGAACGCGGAUUAGCCCAAACCAGAAUUGUUACGGCAUUUUUGGGGUUGUAGGACCGCGAUAUUUCAUGCGCAAGGAACCGGAAGCUUCUGGAAAGGAGCGCCAUAGAGGGUGACAGCCCCGUAUGGGCAACGAGCGUAAUGGAUAGCGGUAUCCUGAGUAGGGCGGGGCACGUGAAACCCUGUCUGAAUUUGGCGGGACCAUCCGGUAAGGCUAAAUACUCCUGAGAGACCGAUAGUGAACCAGUACCGUGAGGGAAAGGUGAAAAGAACCCCGAACAGGGGAGUGAAAUAGAACCUGAAACCGUGUACUUACAAGCGGUCGGAGCAUCCAAGUGGUGUGACGGCGUGCCUUUUGCAUAAUGAGCCUACGAGUUACUCUUCUCUGGCAAGGUUAAGUGCUUCAGGCACGGAUCCGAAGCGAAAGCGAGUCUGAAUAGGGCGUAUAGUCAGAGGAGGUAGACGCGAAACCUUGUGAUCUACCCAUGGACAGGUUGAAGGUGCGGUAACACGUACUGGAGGACCGAACCGAUAAACGUUGAAAAGUUUCCGGAUGAUCUGUGGGUAGGGGUGAAAGGCUAAUCAAACUGGGAAAUAGCUCGUACUCCCCGAAAUGUUUUUAGGAACAGCGUCGGCAUCGAGUUACAUAGAGGUAGAGCUACUGAUUGGGUGCGGGGGAGUCAAAUCCUACCAAAUCCAGACAAACUCCGAAUGCUAUGUAAUAUGGCCGGCAGUGAGGCGCGGGGUGCUAAGGUCACGCGCCGAGAGGGAAAGAACCCAGACCAUCAGCUAAGGUCCCCAAGUUACAGUUAAGUUGAACUAACGAGGUCCGAUUGCACAGACAGCUAGGAUGUUGGCUUGGAAGCAGCCAUUCAUUUAAAGAGUGCGUAACAGCUCACUAGUCGAGCGAUCGGGCAUGGAUAAUAAACGGGCAUAAAAUUGUACACCGAAGCUAUGGGAUUGAAAUAUAUCGGUAGGGGAGCAUUCUAUAUACAGUGAAGGUAUCUGGUAAUGGGUGCUGGAGUGUAUAGAAAAGCAAAUGUAGGCAUAAGUAACGAUAAGGCGGGCGAGAAACCCGCCCACCGAAAGGAUAAGGUUUCCUGAUCAACGCUAAUCGGAUCAGGGUUAGUCGGGACCUAAGGAGAACCCGAAGGGGAAAUUCGAUGGACAACGGUUUAAUAUUACCGUACUUUUUAUAACUGCGAUGUGGGGACGGAGUAGUGACACUGCCGCGAUCUGACGGAAUAGAUCGUUAAAGGCUGUAGGUAUUGGAACGGUAGGCAAAUCCGCCGAUCCAGCUGAACGCUGAUAGUACCAAGAGCCUUCGGGUAAUUGGAUAGAGCAGGUAAUCAGACUUCCAAGAAAAACCGCUAAGCUUCAGGUUAUAAAAACCCGUACCGCAAACCGACACAGGUAUCCGGGAAGAGGAUUCUAAGGUGCUCGAGUGAAUCAUGGCUAAGGAACUCGGCAAAAUGGCCCUGUAACUUCGGGAGAAGGGGCGCUUGCAGUAAUGUAAGCCGCAGUGAAAAGGCCCAGGCGACUGUUUAACAAAAACACAUGGCUUUGCAAAAUCGAAAGAUGAGGUAUAAGGCCUGACACCUGCCC